rnacentral:rRNA from 1 species
CAGUCGCCACGGUAAUACGUAGGUGGCAAGCGUUGUCCGGAAUUAUUGGGCGUAAAGGGCUCGCAGGCGGUUUCUUAAGUCUGAUGUGAAAGCCCCCGGCUCAACCGGGGAGGGUCAUUGGAGACUGGGAAACUUGAGUGCAGAAGAGAGAGUGGAAUUCCACGUGUAGCGGUGAAAUGCGUAGAGAUGUGGAGGAACACCAGUGGCGAAGGCGACUCUCUGGUCUGUAACUGACGCUGAGGAGCGAAAGCGUGGGGAGCGAACAGGAUUAGAUACCCCCGUAGUCCCUGUCUCUUAUACA